rnacentral:tRNA from 3 species
GCGGAUAUGGCGGAAUUGGCAGACGCGCCGGAUUUAGGAUCCGGUGGGCAACCAUGCAGGUUCGAUCCCUGUUAUCCGCACCA